GUCCACGCUGUAAACGAUGGGCACUAGGUGUCCGGGGUAUUGACCCCCUGGGUGCCGCAGCUAACGCAUUAAGUGCCCCGCCUGGGGAGUACGGUCGCAAGAUUAAAACUCAAAGGAAUUGACGGGGGCCCGCACAAGUGGUGGAGCAUGUGGUUCAAUUCGACGCAACGCGAAGAACCUUACCUGGGCUAGACAACGGUGGACCGUCCUAGAAAUAGGAUCUUCCCUUCGGGGACUGCCGGUUCAGGUGCUGCAUGGCUGUCGU
rnacentral:rRNA from 1 species